rnacentral:rRNA from 1 species
CGGCGUAAAGCGUGGUUAAGCUAAAAUUUAAAUUAAAGUUAAACAUCUUCAAGACUGUUAUACGUAUCCGAAGACAGGAACCUCAAUUACGAAAGUAACUUUAUAUAAGCUGAAUCCACGAAAGCUAUAGCACAAACUGGGAU